rnacentral:lncRNA from 1 species
AAACAGCAACAACAGUUAACAACUUAAAUGGUUAGUGAGGGUUUAUAAGGCAAUCAUUGUGCAAAAAACUAUGUACAUGGUUUUCAGUUGUUUCCAUUGGUCUUUUCAGUCUCAGAAACAAAUGGUAAAAACAAAUCUCAUGGAAGUUAAUCAGCCUCACUGUCUGGGGACCAUCCAUCCAGAGGACAUGUCAGGACAGGGCAGAAAUAAAAAUGUGCUUUGUGGAACAGACUGCAGGUACCUUGAGCUCCCAUUGGCUCAUUUCUUUCAACUCUCUCCAGGAACUACCCCAGGACAUCCUGCCCAUGUGGGAUCUUUGCAUUCUGCUUUCCCUGGCAUCCUGCAGCAACCUCCUCCCGAGAGAGGCCAUUGACAUUUAUGGCCGUGCCCACCAGCUGUGCCAACUUACUUCUAGAGGAUUGGAGAAACCAGCAACUUUCCAUGCCUCAGUCUCCCUCCAUCUGCAAUAAAGUUCACAG